rnacentral:rRNA from 1 species
GACGAACGCUGGCGGCGUGCUUGACACAUGCAGGUCGAACGGUAAGGCCCUUCGGGGUACACGAGUGGCGAACGGGUGAGUAACACGUGGGUGAUCUGCCCUGCACUUCGGGAUAAGCCUGGGAAACUGGGUCUAAUACCGGAUAGGACCACUGCCUGCAUGGGUGGUGGUGGAAAGCUUUUGCGGUGUGGGAUGGGCCCGCGGCCUAUCAGCUUGUUGGUGGGGUGAUGGCCUACCAAGGCGACGACGGGUAGCCGGCCUGAGAGGGUGACCGGCCACGAUGGGACUGAGAUACGGCCCAGACUCCUACGGGAGGCAGCAGUGGGGAAUAUUGCACAAUGGGCGCAAGCCUGAUGCAGCGACGCCGCGUGAGGGAUGACGGCCUUCGGGUUGUAAACCUCUUUCAACACCGACGAAGCGCAAGUGACGGUAGGUGCAGAAGAAGGACCGGCCAACUACGUGCCAGCCGCCGCAGUAA